rnacentral:tRNA from 1 species
UCGCGGAGUGGAGCAGUUGGUAGCUCGUUGGGCUCAUAACCCAAAGGUCACUUGUUCGAGUCAAGUCUCCGCAACCCA